UACGUAGGGUGCAAGCGUUGUCCGGAAUUAUUGGGCGUAAAGAGCUCGUAGGCGGUUUGUCGCGUCGAAUGUGAAAACCCGGGGCUCAACCCCGGGCCUGCAUUUGAUACGGGCAGACUAGAGUUCGGUAGGGGAGUCUGGAAUUCCUGGUGUAGCGGUGAAAUGCGCAGAUAUCAGGAGGAACACCGGUGGCGAAGGCGGGACUCUGGGCCGAUACUGACGCUGAGGAGCGAAGACGUGGGGAGCAAACAGG
rnacentral:rRNA from 1 species